GCUCAUCCGAUCUCUCAGAUCGAUGCUGCCUCCUCUUUCUUUUCUGUGGCAGAAUGAAAACCAACAGGUUUGAGUGAGGUAAAAAGACAGAUACC